UACGGGGGGGGCAAGCGUUGUUCGGAAUUACUGGGCGUAAAGGGCUCGUAGGCGGCCAACUAAGUCAGACGUGAAAUCCCUCGGCUUAACCGGGGAACUGCGUCUGAUACUGGAUGGCUUGAGAUUGGGAGAGGGAUGCGGAAUUCCAGGUGUAGCGGUGAAAUGCGUAGAUAUCGGGAAGAACACCAGUGGCGAAAGCGCUCUACUGGGCCAUAACUGACACUGAGGGACGAAAGCUAGGGGAGCGAAAGGG
rnacentral:rRNA from 1 species